AAGAGACAGCAGUAGCCGCGGGAAUACGUAGGUGGCAAGCGUUGUCCGGAACUAUUGGGCGUAAAGGGCUCGCAGGCGGUUUCUUAAGUCUGAUGUGAAAGCCCCCGGCUCAACCGGGGAGGGUCAUUGGAAACUAGGAAACUUGAGUGCAGAGGAGGAGAGUGGAAUUCCACGUGUAGCGGUGAAAUGCGUAGAGAUGUGGAGGAACACCAGUGGCGAAGGCGACUCUCUGGUCUGUAACUGACGCUGAGGAGCGAAAGCGUGGGGAGCGAACAGGAUUAGAUACCCGCGUAGUCCCUGUCUCUUAUAC
rnacentral:rRNA from 1 species